rnacentral:ribozyme from 1 species
GUAGAAGUCACACCAGAGUCUCUUCCACCUCACCUGCGCAAGGCAUUUGAGCAUGCUGUGGCAAGUGGACAAUUAAGUCACCU